rnacentral:rRNA from 1 species
GACAGAGGCCUCGAGCGUUAGGCGGAAUCACUGGGCUUAAAGCGUGUGUAGGCGGGCCCGUAAGUGUCUUGUGAAAUCCCACGGCUCAACCGUGGAACUGCUGGGCAUACUGCGGGUCUUGGGCCAACUAGGGGCAGCCGGAACAAGCGGUGGAGCGGUGAAAUGCGUAGAUAUCGCUUGGAACGCCGAAGGUGAAAACAGGCUGACUGGGGUUGCGCCGGACGCUGAGACACGAAAGCCAGGGAGCAAACGGGAAUUAGAAACCCCAGGUAGUCCAAGACCGAAGUACCUCUCGCUACC